CCCAACACCACCUUUUCUUCUGUUGGUCCUGAUAUUUCAUUGUAAGCCUUUUUCUCUCUAGCUUUUCAGCAGUGGAGAAAUUGGGAUAAAAUACCUACCUUCAGAAGAGCAUGCACUGCUACAGACCCUGCGCAGAGAAGAGGAAUUACCCAGCUGAGUAGAGGUCCUGGGCCAUAAGACAAUUCACAGAAGAAAGCUUCUGGGGAUGGUGAAAACACUCAAGCUGUAUGCAGAAAAUGAAUGGCUCUCAAACCGUAACAUGGAUCCAAAAUCAUGGUAAUUUCCAGGUUUCUUGCGGGGUGUUUAAUGACGAUCAUAGAGAAGCUACAUGAAAAAUAAUUGGAAGUGUUCUCAUUUCUGCAAAAGAUUUAAGUUGAAUGGGAUGUGUUCUUCAUGAAAAAACUAUCAUUUCUACAGUCCAUUAAUUGACAGGCCUGUAUGAAAGAGAGUUAGCCUGAUGUUCAAGGAUAUUUGUGAGCUUUUAUAAUCUUAACU
rnacentral:lncRNA from 1 species